rnacentral:rRNA from 1 species
ACUCAAAGGAAUAGACGGGGACCCGCACAAGCGGUGGAUUAUGUGGAUUAAUUCGAUGCAACGCGAAAAACCUUACCUACCCUUGACAUGUCAGAAAGUUUUUAGAGAUAAAUUCGUGCCCGAAAGGGAAUUUGAACACAGGUGCUGCAUGGCUGUCGUCAGCUCGUGUCGUGAGAUGUUGGGUUAAGUCCCGCAACGAGCGCAACCCUUGUCAUUAAUUGCCAUCAUUUAGUUGGGCACUUUAAUGAAACUGCCGGUGAUAAACCGGAGGAAGGUGGGGAUGACGUCAAGUCCUCAUGGCCCUUAUGGGUAGGGCUUCACACGUAAUACAAUGGCGCGUACAGAGGGUUGCCAACUCGCAAGAGGGAGCCAAUCUCAGAAAGCGCGUCGUAGUCCGGAUCGGAGUCUGCAACUCGACUCCGUGAAGUCGGAAUCGCUAGUAAUCGCGGAUCAGCAUGUCGCGGUGAAUACGUUCCCGGGUCUUGUACACACCGCCCGU